CCCCAGUAACGGCGAGUGAAGCGGCAACAGCUCAAAUUUGAAAUCUGGCCCCCCCCCGGGGGGCCCGAGUUGUAAUUUGCAGAGGAUGCUUUGGGCGAGGCGCCUUCCGAGUUCCCUGGAACGGGACGCCACAGAGGGUGAGAGCCCCGUCUGGUCGGACGCCGAGCCUCUGUAAAGCUCCUUCGACGAGUCGAGUAGUUUGGGAAUGCUGCUCAAAAUGGGAGGUAUAUGUCUUCUAAAGCUAAAUACCGGCCAGAGACCGAUAGCGCACAAGUAGAGUGAUCGAAAGAUGAAAAGCACCUUGAAAAGGGGGUUAAACAGUACGUGAAAUUGUUGAAAGGGAAGCGCUCGUGACCAGACUUGGGGCGGGCGGAUCAGCCGGCGUUCUCGCCGGCGCACUCCGCCCGUCCCAGGCCAGCAUCAGUUCGCGCCGGGGGACAAAGGCGGCGGGAACGUGGCUCCCCAGGGAGUGUUAUAGCCCGCCGCGCCAUGCCCCGGGGGCGGACUGAGGGCCGCGCAUCACUGCAAGGAUGCUGGCGUAAUGGUCACCAGCGACCCGUCUUGAAACACGGGCCAAGGAGUCGUCCUCGUAUGCGAGUGUUCGGGUGUCAAACCCCUACGCGGAAUGAAAGUGAACGUGGGUGAGAGCUUCGGCGCAUCAUCGACCGAUCCUGAUGUUCUCGGAUGGAUUUGAGUAGGAGCAUACGGGGCCGGACCCGAAAGAAGGUGAACUAUGCCUGUGUAGGGUGAAGCCAGAGGAAACUCUGGUGGAGGCUCGCAGCGGUUCUGACGUGCAAAUCGAUCGUCAAACAUGGGCAUGGGGGCGAAAGACU
rnacentral:rRNA from 1 species